rnacentral:rRNA from 1 species
AGAGGGUGCAAGCGUUAAUCGGAAUUACUGGGCGUAAAGGGCGCGUAGGUGGUUAAUUAAGUCAGAUGUGAAAUCCCUGGGCUUAACCUAGGAAUUGCAUAUGAAACUGAUUGGCUAGAGUACGGUAGAGGGAAGUGGAAUUUCCGGUGUAGCGGUGAAAUGCGUAGAUAUCGGAAGGAACACCAGUGGCGAAGGCGGCCUUCUGGACAGAUACUGACGCUGAGAUGCGAAAGCGUGGGGAGCAAACAGGAUUAGAUACCCUGGUAGUCCACGCUGUAAACGAUGUCGAUUUGGAGUUUGUUGCCUAGAGUGAUGGGCUCCGAAGCUAACGCGAUAAAUCGACCGCCUGGGGAGUACGGCCGCAAGGUUA